UAACUCCAUAUCUCAAAAAAGUCAAGAACUGAAAAGGAUUUUCCAAUUUCACUUUUCCCCUCUAAACGAUUAAUGUUAGUAUUUUCGAUUGCUUUCAGCUUCAUAUCCCCAAAAAAACUCAAGAACCGAAAAGGGUUUUUUCAAUUUCAUUGAUUUUCUCUUUCUUUCCAAUUCAUUUUCCUUUAAUUCCCUCUACUUUCAUAUCGCAAAUUAAAACAUUUAAUUUUGAAUUUCCUCAAAAGAAAAAAAACCAAAUAAAGCGCAGGUACUUUUCAUAACUGUUAGGGUAACAAAUCCAUUCCAUAAAUUUGAAAUCCCAAUUUUUAUUGUCACCACUCAAUGAUGAUCCCCCUACCUAAUUUCUCUUCUGGAGGAUCAAUAGCGGUGGUGAUGAGGUGAAAAUAGCGGUGAAAAAUGAGGAGGAGGAAGUGAAGAAAAUAUCGGAAAAUAGUUUUGUUGGAAAGUCAGAGAAAAUCACGCCGUUAGAUGUUAAAGAUUACGAGGAGCUAGGAUUGAUAAUAGAUCUAGAGGAAUUAGUGGAAAGUAAUUUUGAAAAUGCUAGGUUGAUUUUAAUGCUCCAGAAGUGAAACUAUCAUCACUCAGUGAUGAUUCUCCCCUACCUAAUUUUACUUUUGGAGCAUUAAAAAAUCAAUACUAGCAUUUUCAAAACUAUUUUUCCCUAAUUCCUCCAAAUCUAUUAUCAACCCCAAGUCCUCGUAAUCCUUAACAUCUAACGGCGUGAUUUCCUCCGACUUUCCAACUGAACUAUUUUCUGAUAUUUUCUUCACCUCAUCACCACCACUAUUGAUCGUCCAGAAGUGAAUUUAGGUAGGGGAAACCAUCAUUGAGUAGUGAAAAUAACGAUUGGGAUUUUGAGCUGAUGGAAUGGAUUUGGUCCCUAACAGUUAUGAAGAGUUUAUGUGCUUUUAUCAAGGAUAAAAUUCCUCCUUUGGAAUUGAACUAUGACGCUGCUAGGAGAAGUACUCUCUGUUUAUGUCUCUGUGUAGGUAUGUGUGGCACGUUGCUUGGCCUUCGAGGCAUUUUAUCACAAAUGAGGGGUUGAUUUGCCAAGAUGAGCAUCGUAUUGAAAGCAAUCUGCUUACAGGGGUGAAAUGUGGCCUUAAGACAUGACUUGAAAGUAAAUUUAUUGAUGAGGAGGCUUGUAGCCUAUGAAAAUUGUGGUGGAAAGGCAUUCAUAUAUAUAUAUACUUUGUUAUCGUGAUUAUGCAUACAUAUUCAUUUUCUUGGAUCAUAGAAAUGGUACAAUGAAAAUGACGUUUGGAAGGCAAAUAUUGAUUUUAGUUCCGAUUCGAGACCGGAUAAACUAUUGAUGGAAGUCCAGUUGAGUGGGGCAGAUUAUAUUGAUGAAAGUAUCGGUUCGAGCCUGAGCAUGGAAUGUGGACCUAGCGAUUUCCCCAUGGGUCCCACCUCACAACGUAUUAUGUGGAGGGAGUGUAUACCGGGAAAUUUUCUGAGUGCAAGAGUUUAUAACAUUCUUUGUACGGUAUAGUUAUUAACUCUGGCUCGGUCAGCCAAUGAUGCCUACGGAGGACGUGCGAUUUUGUACUCUUACUACUCUUGCUGCCUCUUUUUUAGGCAGAUUCCAGUGCUAGUGGAUUGGCUUUUGUACUGCAUCUUUCCAGUGAAGGACGCAGAGCACAAGAUUAUGUAUGUGGACUGGCUCCGUGGAUUAGAAAAUUGUAGGAAAGAGAUUAAGAUAUGAAUGCACUUGUGUUGGAGGGCAAUGCCAUAUAACUUUCUGAUCAUUAAAUUUGCUAUAGAUUUAUUUUAAGAAACGUUGAGGGUAUGGUAUGAAGCUACUUCACAAGAGUUGGUUUUUUCUUCUUUGUGCAAUUGUGUUUAGGCCAUAGGGAAAAACAUAUUUAUUAGCAAUAGAGAUGAACCUUUUGGUA